rnacentral:lncRNA from 1 species
UCUCAUCAAUAGGUAGUUCAUCCAGAUAUAAACUCAGUAAAGUCAUUUUGGACCUAAAAAUAUUAUAAAUCAAAUGGAAUCAACAUACAUCUUUAGAAUAUCUAACAUCACUUGAAUAUAGUUUCUUCUCAAUGGCUCAUGAAACCUUCUCCAAAAGACCAUAUUUUAGGCUACAAAACAACUCUUAGUGAAUACAAAAAAUAAUUUUUAUAAUUCCUUGCACCUACUUAGAUCAUAAUGGAAUUAAAUAGGAAAUCAACACCGAAAAAAAAAUUACAGAAACUACAUAAACUCAUGGAGAUUGAAUGACACACUUUUGAAAGAUGAAUGAGUAAAGAAUAAUUCAGGGGAGAAAUUUAAAAAUUCUUAAGUUCAAAUGAGAAUAAUUAUAUAAAAUACAAGAACCCUUGGGGCACCAUGAAGGCAAUUCUAAAAAGAGAGU